rnacentral:rRNA from 1 species
CCUACGGGAGGCUGCAGUGAGGAAUAUUGGUCAAUGGGCGCGAGCCUGAACCAGCCAAGUCGCGUGAAGGAUGACUGCCCUACGGGUUGUAAACUUCUUUUAUAAAGGAAUAAAGUGAGGCACGUGUGCCUUUUUGUAUGUACUUUAUGAAUAAGGAUCGGCUAACUCCGGGCCAGCAGCCGCGGUAAUACGGAGGAUCCGAGCGUUAUCCGGAUUUAUUGGGUUUAAAGGGAGCGUAGAUGGGUUGUUAAGUCAGAUGUGAAAGUUUGCGGCUCAACCGUAAAAUUGCAAUGGAUACUGGCAGUCUUGAGUACAGUUGAGGUAAGCGGAAUUCGUGGUGUAGCGGUGAAAUGCGUAGAUAUCACGAAGAACACCGAUGGCGAAGGCAGCUUACUAAACUGCCACUGACGUUGAGGCUCGAAAGUGUGGGGAGCAAACAGGAUUAGAUACCCGAGUAGUC